GCACCACAAGAACGCGUGGAGCAUGUGGCUUAAUUUGACUCAACGCGGGAAAUCUUACCGGGUCCGGACACACUGAGGAUUGACAGGCAAUAUCUCAUGUUAACGGUAAGUUUACUUACCGCUUAACAUCGAGUGUUAAAUAUGCUAGUCCUUUCAUGAUUAUGUGAUAGGUGGUGCAUGGCCGUUCUUAGUUCGUGGAGUGAUCUGUCUGCUUAAUUGCGUUUCACUAAGGGCCCAUAAAUUCAAGGUAUGUUAGCUCUCGUCGCUCUAUGGACCCCUUAACUCCAAUAUUCUUAUUGUGUUAAGCGCGUGUCUUUAUUUUAAGAGUUUUAAGACACUGCGCAUGCUGUUGGGCUCUGAAAGCAACGAACGUGACCGCAACGUCUUGUUGCCUUAAACUA
rnacentral:rRNA from 1 species